AUGUAUACAAUGGAGGCGCGAGGGCUGUUGCUGACUCUUCGAGGGGUCGUGCACGCUCGAGUGCCCUCACACAUCCAUCUCACCCCCUUGUGCAUCACCGCGUGGGGCUCCUUUCGGACUUGUUUCGAGAGGGGGCCUGCGUUUUUAACACAAAACACCUAGUGUAGAAUGUCCUUUCACGCGAUAACGCGCGAUCAAUACAACUUUCAACAACGGAUCUCUUGGCUCUCGCAUCGAUGAAGAACGCAGCGAAAUGCGAUACGUAAUGUGAAUUGCAGAAUUCAGUGAAUCAUCGAAUCUUUGAACGCACCUUGCGCCCCUUGGCAUUCCGAGGGGCACACCCGUUUGAGUGUCGUGACAUCCUCAACCUUCUUGGUUUCUCGAUCAAAGAAGGCUUGGAAUUUGGAGGUUUAUGCUGGCCUCUCUGGAGGCCAGCUCCUCUCAAAAGGAUUAGCUGGGUCCACUCGGCUGACCCUCGACGUGAUAAGAUGCUUCUACGUCUCGGGUUUUGCUUUAGUCCCCUUGGGGAAACCCUGCUUCUAACCGUCUCGUAGGAGACAGUGUUUCGAGCCCCUUGAGGAAGCUCGAUCCACCGAACCUUGACCUCAAAUCGGGUGAGACUACCCGCUGAACUUAAGCAUAUCAAUAAGCGGAGGAAAAGAAACUAACAAGGAUUCCCCUAGUAACUGCGAGUGAAGCGGGAAAAGCUCAAAUUUAAAAUCUGGUGGUCUUUUGGCCACCCGAGUUGUAAUUUAGAGAAGCGUCUUCCGCGCCGGACCGUGCACAAGUCUCCUGGAAUGGAGCGUCAUAGAGGGUGAGAAUCCCGUCUUUGGCACGGACACCCCGGGGCUUUUGUGAUGCGCUCUCGAAGAGUCGAGUUGUUUGGGAAUGCAGCUCAAAAUGGGUGGUGAACUCCAUCUAAAGCUAAAUAUUGGCGAGAGACCGAUAGCGAACAAGUACCGUGAGGGAAAGAUGAAAAGCACUUUGGAAAGAGAGUGAAACAGUACGUGAAAUUGUUGAAAGGGAAACGCUUGAAGUCAGUCGCGUCGACCGAGACUCAGCCUUGCCUCGGCUUGGUGUACUUCUCGGCUGACGGGUCAGCAUCAAUUUUGUCUCUCGGAUAAUGGCAAGGGAAAGGUGACACCGUUGCCGGUGUGUUAUAGUCUCUUGUCACAUGCGAGGGUCAAGAUUGAGGAACUCAGCACGCGCCUCUCGGCGUCG
rnacentral:rRNA from 1 species